CAAAACGAACUUUUGUGGUUUGUUGUUAGAUAAAAUUUGAGGAGGGUGUUGGAACACUCGAAACCGUAGAAAGGUAGCGUUUUCUUCUGAGCGUGAAGGGAGCCCUUGGUGUUGUUUUUACAGCUACUGUUACAUGUUGUUGAUCCUUCUUGUCCUUAAGGAGAAAACGCUCAUUGAGUGGU
rnacentral:snoRNA from 1 species